UAGGGAAUCUUCCACAAUGGACGAAAGUCUGAUGGAGCAACGCCGCGUGAGUGAAGAAGGUUUUCGGAUCGUAAAGCUCUGUUGUAAGAGAAGAACGUGUGUGAGAGUGGAUAGUUCACACAGUGACGGUAACUUACCAGAAAGGGACGGCUAACUACGUGCCAG
rnacentral:rRNA from 1 species